rnacentral:rRNA from 1 species
UACGAAGGGGGCUAGCGUUGUUUCGGAAUUACUGGGCGUAAAAGCGCACGUAGGCGGAUUUGUAAGUCAGGGGUGAAAUCCCGGGGCUCAACCUCGGAACUGCCUUUGACUACUGCAAGUCUCGAGUCCGAUAGAGGUGAGUGGAAUUCCUAGUGUAGAGGUGAAAUUCGUAGAUAUUAGGAAGAACACCAGUGGCGAAGGCGGCUCACUGGAUCGGUACUGACGCUGAGGUGCGAAAGCGUGGGGAGGCAAACAGGG